CUCCUUUGACGUUAGCGGCGGACGGGUUAGUAACACGUGGGUAACCUACCUAUAAGACUGGGAUAACUUCGGGAAACCGGAGCUAAUACCGGAUAAUAUUUCGAACCGCAUGGUUCGAUAGUGAAAGAUGGUUUUGCUAUCACUUAUAGAUGGACCCGCGCCGUAUUAGCUAGUUGGUAAGGUAACGGCUUACCAAGGCGACGAUACGUAGCCGACCUGAGAGGGUGAUCGGCCACACUGGAACUGAGACACGGUCCAGACUCCUACGGGAGGCAGCAGGGG
rnacentral:rRNA from 1 species